CGAAGAGUCAGCCAGCAGGAGGAAGCAGUGCCCAUCGGGGACGGGCCUGAAGAGGCCGGGAGAGAGCACAGACUACAAGAAAGUGAAGUUAGGAGACUCAGCAGCCGGCUCUGCAAGCAGAGGCGAGUUUCCGUUUUAGCUCCGCAGUGAUGUGACUGAAAUGAGAAGCGUGCCAUGAGGCCACAGAAAGGGGCCUGCAUAUGCGCUGUUGGGUGUGCGGGCUCAGUCCCUGGUCGGAGAGCUGAGAUCCCACGUGCCUUGGGGCCAAAAACCCAAAAGCUCUUUCCUGAUCUUGAGUCUGCUGGCUUUUGGACCUGAACCACACUAUGGCUCUCCUGGGUCUCCAGCUUGCUGACCACAGUGAUUCAGACUUGUCAGCCCUCGUAAUCCU